rnacentral:rRNA from 1 species
GAUAGGUGGGAGGCUUUGAAGCGUGGACGCCAGUUCGCGUGGAGCCAUCCUUGAAAUACCACCCUGGCAUGCUUGAGGUUCUAACUCUGGUCCGUAAUCCGGAUCGAGGACAGUGUAUGGUGGGCAGUUUGACUGGGGCGGUCUCCUCCUAAAGAGUAACGGAGGAGUACGAAGGUGCGCUCAGACCGGUCGGAAAUCGGUCGCAGAGUAUAAAGGCAAAAGCGCGCUUGACUGCGAGACAGACACGUCGAGCAGGUACGAAAGUAGGUCUUAGUGAUCCGGUGGUUCUGUAUGGAAGGGCCAUCGCUCAACGGAUAAAAGGUACUCCGGGGAUAACAGGCUGAUACCGCCCAAGAGUUCAUAUCGACGGCGGUGUUUGGCACCUCGAUGUCGGCUCAUCACAUCCUGGGGCUGAAGCCGGUCCCAAGGGUAUGGCUGUUCGCCAUUUAAAGUGGUACGCGAGCUGGGUUUAGAACGUCGUGAGACAGUUCGGUCCCUAUCUGCCGUGGACGUUUGAGAUUUGAGAGGGGCUGCUCCUAGUACGAGAGGACCGGAGUGGACGAACCUCUGGUGUUCCGGUUGUCACGCCAGUGGCAUUGCCGGGUAGCUAUGUUCGGAAAAGAUAACCGCUGAAAGCAUCUAAGCGGGAAACUUGCCUCAAGAUGAGAUCUCACUGGGAACUUGAUUCCCCUGAAGGGCCGUCGAAGACUACGACGUUGAUAGGCUGGGUGUGUAAGCGUUGUGAGGCGUUGAGCUAACCAGUACUAAUUGCCCGUGAGGCUUGACCAU